ensembl:snoRNA
CCCACCACUGCACCUGUCCCUUCUCUGAUGGCUGGAGCAAUCCAGUGGGGAACUUAGAAUAAACCCCAAUUUAGGAAAUGGGGUUGCUCUUCAAGCAGAUGACCCUGUGCCAAAAGCAUAGAACAGCC